rnacentral:pre_miRNA from 1 species
CUUGGAGAUUGGAUGGGACUUUGUCGUGGGGAUUGACGCAUGGCACGAAGCUAACAUCCUGAGAUCAGUUGCUUCGGACCAGGCUUCAUUCCCCUUGCCUAAGUUGCAUCAUGUAGUGCU